rfam:Capsicum annuum cultivar Zunla-1 unplaced genomic scaffold scaffold2555, whole genome shotgun sequence
AGGGAUGUGGCGCAACUUGGUAGCGCAUUUAUUUUGGGUACAAAAUAUCACGGGUUCAAAUCCUGUCAUCCCUA